AGAAAAUGUCUUAAUUUGCCGCUAUGAACAAAUGUUAGGAAUUCAAGAGUCUGAUCUUUGGCCUCUGAAAGAGUAAAGAUGAAGUUUCUGUACACACUGAAUUUUGUGAGCUUUGAACCCGUUACAACUUACAACACAUGCAUCUAGCAAAUUUUUGACUGAAAAAAUAGAAAGUAAAAGAGAGACAGAAUUGUAAAAAUUACAAUGAAAAGCUGACAAGAUUUGAAGCAUGAAAUGACAAUAUCUCUCCAUAUCAAGUUAUUUUCCAUGGUUUUGAGUAUCCAUUUUAACGUGCAAAAUGCAUGAUGAAGAGAUAUGCUCCUUCUGUGAAGGAACCAAUGCCAUGGAAUUCACUCUCCAGUACUCGCCUUUCCUUUUCUUCUCAUCUCCAUACAACCAUUUCUCUUCUUCUCUUUUUUAUUCAAUCCCGGCUCCUUCUGAAUUGAAAAUCGGAACUUUUCUCCAGUUGCACCAGAUUCUUAACAUGAUGUAAAUCAGCACCAAACAUAUAACUGUAGAAGUGAAAACAAUGGCCAGUAUAAUACAAAUAACUGCAGUGUUGGACAGUUUGUUCUUUUCAUGACCCGCUGAAUCCAUGCACGAUGAUAAUGGAGGGCCGCAGAGCUUGUCAUUACCCGAGAACGAACUAAGUGGGAAUCCUGAAAAGGUAGAAGGAAGUUCUCCCUGGAGAUGAUUAUUUGACAGGUUUAGCAUGUCGAGGCUGGUCAGCUUUCCAAGUGAAGAGGGAACUUCUCCUUGAAGUCGGUUGAAAGAGAGAUUCAACCUUUCGAGCUUCAGAAGGUUUCCAAGAGAUGAUGGAAUCUCACCAGACAAAAGAUUUCUGCUCAAAUAGUUUUGUACGCAAGCUUUCCAGUUUUCAUAAUUAUAUGGUCCAUUUAAAAACUUGACCAACAAUUGCACUCGAACAAACAUUAUGGGCCUCCAUCUGUCAAAAACAAAAAUAGAAGAAGAUUAAAUUUGAUUCCCAAGCUACCUAAUUUGCACCUAAUAAUUAGUAUACAUAUGUGGAAUUUCAUAAAAUGAAGUUAUUAAAAUACUUAACUUACAGGGAUAAAUAAAAUGAGUACUCUUCCUCAGUUCUUCAGAGGGGAGAGCAUUACUAUAAAAUUAUGAUUUUAUAGCGUUGACGGGUCGGCUCGAGGUAAGCCGAGAACUGCUGGUUGUGGAGGCGUUCUCCGAAAUUCGGAUGGCUUUGUCUUGGGAUUAUUUUUCAGUCCCCUUGGCCUGUGUAAUUCCAACUUUGCAGAGUUGAUGGCUAUUUUAAAGGCUUUGCGCUUUUAUGCUGCCUCACCCAUGCGACCUCACCACUAAUUAUUGAAUCUGAUUCAGGAGUCCUCUCACAUGGGUUAAUUCUGUUGAACAGAGACCUUGGGAUAAAUGGAACAUAUUCAAUGAGAUAGAUUCUUUACAUGUCUCACUUGGUACAGUGUCCUUCAAACACAUCUUUAAAGAAGGCAACAGUUAUGCAGACUCUCUGGCAAGGCAUGGUGCUGACAAAGACACUUAAUUCUCAGCUUGGUGGUGAUCCUGUCAGACGGUUGACUCUUUUCCUAUGCCAAUCCACUUCACACUUUGCCGCUGAAGUUUGCUUUUUUGUGGAAACUGCAUUGAUAUGUCUCACUUUGUAUUAAUCUUUUUUGGGUUUCUUAGUCAGCACUUCAUUUUUUUCUGCCUUAAGUUUAUGAUUUCAGGUGCUGUCCAUCUUUUAUUUUCUUGUUCCAGCAACAGAUAUUUAUUUCAUCUUUUGCUGCAGUUGCUGUACCUAUGGCAUUAGGCUAACCUUUUGUGACUAUUCUAUCAUUAAUGAAACUUCUUGAUUGGCUGAGCAAAAAAAAAAAAAUCGCCAACCACCAUAAGAAAACAUAAAAGAAAAUAAAAUAUCUUAUCCAUAUCAAUUGACUUUUUCCAAAUAAUAAAAGGAUUUAACCAGCUAUCAAAGCUAUGAAUAAGCACCCUUCCUCAACGGAAAAGAGCAACAUUCUGUCGAUAUUUCUAUCGAAAAAUUGGUUCGUAGAACUUUCAUUGGAAAAUUGCUUUUUUUGAAAUUUUUUAAAAUUUGUCAAAAAAAUUUUUAACAGAGAUUUUUGUUCGUAAAUCCAUCGUUAAAAUACAAAUCCUUCGAAAAUGAAAAUCAUCGAGAGACAAUACAUAGUAGUUAAAAUUUUUGAUAAAUUUUUUGAUGAAAUUUGACUUAAUAGUUCAAAAUUUUCGACUAAUUCUGUCAAAAAUUCAAUUGAAUUCCAUCAAAAAUUCAUAUGAAUUUUAUCAAAAAAGCUUCAUAUUCUGUCAGUAAUUCCAUCGAAAUUCUUUUGAAAAUAUAAACACUCACUUUCUCGAGUUUCAUAUAGGAUAAUUGUGAAAUUGAGAUGUAAUAAAUUAAUUAUUUUAUAAAAAAUAAAUAUUUAUAAAAAUAAUGAUAAAUAUAUUUAUUAAAAAAUAUUCAUAUAGAUUUUUAUUAAAUUUACUAAUCAUAACGUAUACAUUUAAAUAAAUAAUAAAACAUACAUACAUCAUGCAGUGCUCUCAUCUCUCCUUGCAAUCUCUUAUUACAAAAAUUGUGAUCUUUACCAAUGAAAUUUUUCAUAAAAUUUAAAAAUUCAUUGCUAAGUCAAAUUACUGACAGAAUGUCAAUGGAAAAUUUUAUCGAUAUUCAAUUGGAAAUACCCUGGUCAAUAAAGAUCAUUUAGUCGAAAUAGGGGAAAUCUAUCGAAAAUUCACCAAUGGAACAUUUCGUCCAAAAAUUUGGUCAAUAAAGAGUCAAAUCCAUCGGUCUUCCGUCUAAUAGCUAUGCGAUUAAAUUCAUCAGCAAAUUUAAUCAAUAAUUUUUUUAUGAAACUAUUGACGAUUCACCGACAAUUACAUUAAGAAUUUUUUUAGGUUUCGUCAAUGCUAUAAUUUAUUCCAUCGAUGUUACCAUGAUUCCCUUAGUAGAAAAUGAGCCAAACCCCGUUGGUAAUGCCAUCAACAUUCUGAUCAAAUACAAAUUAUUUUAUUUACAAAAUUGAAAUUGAUUACAUAGAAGAAUAAGAAAAAGAAGCAGAGAUACAUGAUAUGCCAACAACUAGAGAACUCUAAACCAGAGAUCUUGAAACUAGCAAAAACAGGAAAGAACAAAUACUCAAAAAAAAAAACUUUCCCCUAAAGUCCUUAAGACCAUUUAAGUACUUUGAUACCAUAUUGAAUUUGAAAAGAAACUUAAACUUUUAAAGAUUCAAAAAUGGUGAACAGAUGAAAAAUAGAAAAAGAAAAACACAGGGAAAAAGGAAAGGAAUAUUUUUCUAACAAGCAUAACCACAAAUAGCUAGCUUUAAAUACGAGCACAAUUACAAAGGAAAUAAACUAGUGGACCCUACACACUUGUCUAAUGUAUUUGCGAAACAAAAGAAAAUAGGUCAUAUUAGCAUUACAAUAAAUGAGGCAAACCACUUGCUAAACAAAAGGAGUAAAAUAGCACAAUAAAAGGAAACACGCGUAUCACACAUUGAAGGCAGAAACACAAGAGAAGAGUGACACGCAAAAGGUAGAAACACAAGAGAGAAGUUACACGCCAUAUUACAUAUCAAUCUUCCAUCUUCGACACAAUCACAAUUCGACCCCUUCUUUUGGAAAACAUAAAUAUACCUAUAGUUAACUAAAGCCAUUGCUUCAUUUUCCUAUCAAAGAUCCCUAGUCCAUAAGUUGAGAUAAAAAUCUUAACAAGAACAUUACAUUACAUGCCUAUUUCUUCUAUAAUCUAAAAUCUUAUCAAAAUCUUAACAAGAACAUUACAUUACAUGCCUAUUUCAUUUUGAUAAAAAUCUUAUCAAAAGAUUUUUAAGAUUUUUUUCGUUUUCAUGUCUAUUUCUUCAUCGAACAUUACAUGCUUGAGUAAAUUGUAUAAUUCAUUCGUUCAUGACUUUUUCACAACAUUUCAUUUUUUUCAUAAUCUAAAAAAAUGUAAUUUUUUUUUAUUCAUAACCUGUAGAAUUUGUUUCAAAUAUAUCUAUUUAUCAACUUGCCGUUAAGUAUAUGGACAGUAUUUGUUACAUGUAUGUUCAUCUAAGUGUCACAUGCCAAAUUUUGUCCAUAUUUUUCAUAUUUUAAUGAUAUGUUAACAUAGUUUGAAACAAAUUCAAGAGAUCGUGAAUGAAAAAAUUGAGCAUUUAGAUCAUAAAUAAAAUAAAAAAUUAUGAAAACAUUAGGCAAUUUAUAUGGUAACAACUUAAAUUUAGUCAUUUCAUUUUAAAAUUUUUCAAUAAACUUUAACCUGUAUGACUCCAUUGUAUCAUGAACUUCUAUUCACGUAUUGGAGCUAAUACGUGCAAUAAAUUAUACAGAGACAUAUUAUUAAAUAAUUUGUAAUAAAUUUUAGAAAAUUUUAAUAAGACGGUCAAUUUCAUACAAUAAUUUCAAUUUUUUCCCUCUACAGUCCUAGAACUUGACCAUAUAAUGUGUUAGCUAGAGAUGUUGAUAGAUAAGGUACCUCCUAAUUUUGUUAAUUUUGUUUUAUCCAAAUCUAGGCCAGAUUAAAAUUAAUAUUUAAUACAUAAACUCAUUAGUUUAGGCUUUGUUUGAUAAAAACGGUUACAUUUUGCUUUUUAUUAUUUGUCUUUGAUUUUCUAUUUAUUUUUAUUUUUUACUUUUUUUCUCUAUUCAUUUUUUUUGAAAAAAAAAAGAAAAAAAUUAAAAUAAAAAAAUCAACCAAAGGAAACUUUAGUUACAAACGAAUCAUAUGUACUAAUUUUAAUACAAAAUGAACCAAGAGGAAACCCAAAUUGAUAUUCAAAGAAAAAUUGGCUUUGAGAAAUAAAAUUUUCAAAGUGCUUUACUUGCCUAAAGCUUUUGUUCGAAGAUAUGUUUUGGAGCUCUAACAUUUUUUUCUUAAGAAAUCAAAAUUUGACAAAAAUGUAAGUGAAGACAUAUUUUCAUUAUCAAGCUAAAAGAAAGUCAAAGAAUUUUAUUCUGCUAAUAUUUAUUUUUUGAACUCAAACAUUAAAUGAAAAAUAUUUCUUCCAAAAUUUUGGUAAUUUUUUAUUAGUAGAAAAUAAAAAACGUACAUUCAUGCUAAAAUAACACGUGAGAAUGUAAUUUCCAUAAUAUCACUUAAUAAAAUUGAUGUAAUACUCCUUAAAAGGUUUCUAAGAAACAUCGCGUCAAUAAGAUAACAUAAGUUUUUUAUUUGAAAAUAACUCCAAAAAAAAUGAGUUCUAAGAUUUAAAAAGUUUGGUAAAAGAAAUAAAUUCAAAACAAAGAAGCAAUUAAAAUUUUUCAGGUUUAAAGUAGGUUUGUCAUUCACUGUUCAAGACACAUCACAUUUUCGAUUAAUACUGUUAGUCAAGGUGUGAUCUGUUAAACAGAAUGAAGGUUAGAGUACUUAAUUGUAAAUUUUUUUUACGUGUCAAAUCAAUAAUUUGACCAUAAAUCGAAUAUCAAAUAUUUAAGUAAGAAGUUAAAUAGGUGAGGUAUCCUGUCAAAUGUUUUUGUUGAGACUCACUUUUGGGUUUUUCUACAUACUUCUACAUAGCCUAAAUAGGAGUUGAGAGGCUAGUGAUAAAAAAAAAUUUUCAGAAAAAACUUUCAUCCUUACUAAACGGAACCUAAAAGAUAAAAAGAGGAGUGCGACAUGGCUCUCAAAUUUGGCCUUAGCUAGCUCGACCGUUGCCGACGACGCCAAAUCGAUUGUGUGCACUAGGUUGAAGGAGAUAUGAAAAUUGGAAGAAGGAGAAAAAAAAAAAGAAAAAUGUAAUAAUUUUUAUUAUUAGUUCUAUUUUCAAUAUUCAUUUUUUAUUCUUUUAUUAUUUCUUACUAAAAACAAAAUUAAAUAGACCAAUAAGGUCAGAUUAAUUCUUUUUAAUUUUCUCUUUUCUUUUUCUUAUUUCUUUAUAUAUAUAUAUGUGUGUGUGGUGUGUGUGUGUGUGUGUGUGUGUGUGUACUUUAACAAAACCUAUAAUUUGAGACAUUUUCAUAUUAUAUGUUUAUUAAAAAUAUCACUUGUAAUAUAUGAUUGAAUUAUCAUUUCUAAAUACUAUUAGGUGAUUUAAUUUNUUUUUAUAGUUAUAUGUGUGUGUGUGUGUGUGUGUGUGUGUGUGUGUGUGUGUACUUUAACAAAACCUAUAAUUUGAGACAUUUUCAUAUUAUAUGUUUAUUAAAAAUAUCACUUGUAAUAUAUGAUUGAAUUAUCAUUUCUAAAUACUAUUAGGUGAUUUAAUUUUUGAAAGUUAAAUAUCUUACAAAAGCUAAUUGUUCAAUCUAUCUGCAUUAUUUGUUUUGUCAAAUUAUUUCCUUCUUUUUUUUGGUAAAGAUAAAAAAAGGUAAAAAAAGAAAGUAGUUAUAAUUUUUAAAAGCACAUUUUUAAAAAUCAUUGAAGUAUUAUUUUUAAUAAUUUAUGUAACAUUUUUAGUAAUUAUUUAUCAUUUUAACCCAACAAGUGUCUGUAAAGUUUUUUGUUGCAUGCAUAUUAAAUAGCAUUAAAUCUCACAAGUGAAAUAUAAGUAUUUCAUUCAAUCAGUAAAAAAAAAGGUUAUUGGUGUUGUUUUAAUUUAUAUUUUCAAAUAUUAUUCUAUUAAGAUGUUGUUUUUCUUCUUUUAAUUCAAAGAAAAACAAAGACAUGCAGCCAACAGUUGAAGUAAUGAAUCGGACAAGUAUAGAAAGAAAUGAAAGCGAGAAAGAUGCAAAAUAGCAAUUUUUUCAGCACCAGAUAAGAACUAAUUUUGAGCAAAUCCGAAUUUUGUGUGUACGUUGGAGAAUUUCGAAAGUGCAUACUUCAAUGUAUUGGUGUUAAUGAAGAGAGUCGGAAUUUGUGUAUGUGUUCUAUUUUUAUUUAUGAUUUUUUGAAUUUAUUAAAAAUUUAUUUAUUAUGUGUAUAAAAUAAUCAAGUUAUUUAAGAUAUAAAUAGAAAUGAACACAAAGUAAUGGUGUAAUUUACUCGGAGACUUGACUAUUCUUCAAAGACAAAGUUGAGGAAUUAUAAAAGAGAGAGUGAUGCUGACCUUGAACCAUUGUAGUUCUCUUUGCAUUUGCAGAGCUGGACCUGAGAUUUGUUGAAGCUUAACCUGAGACUGGGGUGAUAGUUGGCCUGCCAAAUGUAACAUAUUAUUGCUGUUCCUAUCAGUGUAAGGAAGAAAAAGAUACUUGGUAGCAUCAAGCCCAUAUAUGAGGCCAAACACUUUUUCUUGUCGAUGUGCAACUGCAAUCUGGAAUAUGUCUCUUCGCUCCUCGUCCAAAACCAUCAAUAAAUCUAAAUUAGGUUUGAUGACUUCGACAAUAAACUCCGUCAUCCCCCACUGAGCAGCGUUGAGCAUUGCUUGAUGCACUGAACUUCGAUAACAUUGCGCAGCAUCAAAAACAGCUAUCAUCUUAGACAUCAAAAGCAGAAGCUCAUGGGCAUAGACAUGGGUCACCUUUAAAUCAUAUAUUUGCUUGAUUCCUACAAUAACAGAAGAAUUUCUUUAUUAUCAGAAAAUCAAAUGUUGUCAAGGAAUGAAGUGUGUUGUAAUUCAAAGUCAUAAAAUAGAAAAUACCCUGCGUCAUGAAAUUUUUCAUUUUCUUUUGAUCUUGUGGUUCGUUAAUAUUUAUAUGAACAUUGUCUUCACUAGACAAAGGUUUGGAUCCUUUUACCUUUAAGCCUGCAAUAACAAUGAAAUAUUGUUAUUAAAUUAUAUUAUAAUGUAUUAUACAUACACCACUAUUUUUUUAAGUGCAAACUUAUUUAUUCUUUAAACGUAUUUUACAUUGUCUUUUUUUUUUGUGUUUAGGUUUUUUAGUUUUUUUCUUUAAUGUGUACAUUUAAUUAGUUGAAACUAGUAUUUUUUUUUAUUUUUGUUUUAUUUUUAUUUAUAUUGACAUAUUGAUAAGUGUGGAUAAGAAAACUAUAUGAAUAAUUAUAAUUACUUUCUAGAAUUAAAAUUAUGGGAUUGGAAAAGAAAAGAAUAGAUAAUAAUUUUUGACUUAUUUAUUAAUUUUUUGCGAAAUAUAAUUUGUAUAAAGAUUAUCUUAAUUAUUAGAGACAUUGGAUUGACAAUUAAUUUGAUUAGAGAGAGAAGUGAUACUGACAAGAAUAGAUACAGCGUUGCCAAAAUGAGAACCUACAGCCGCUAGGGAAUGCAGAAGGUUGACACGAUAAUACUGUAACAGCAUUGAUUCCAUCUCCCCUUUCAACAAAUGCUAAAUUUGGACGAUGACGGAGCAGAUCCAAAGCAAAAUCUGGUGAAGUGAUGAUAUAGGAAAAAAAAAUUAUGUACCCCAUGACAAGAUACAUUAAAGAAAGAAUUGUUUUAGUAUUUACAACCUAUAUAUGUCACUCUUACCAAACCAUUUGUUAUAAAUACAUUGACAGACAAACAAUUCUACCAGACGUUCGUUUUCUGGUGAGAGUAGAAAUUCUUGUGAAGUCAUGUUGUAUAGAUAGUGAGUCAUAUCUUUAUGGCCUACCCAACAUGCAUAAUUAAGUGGAAUAUCUCCUCCGUUAUCUGGAAAAGUGAGUAAUUCCCUGUUCUUUCUGAUCAAGCUUUGGGCAAUCUUGGUGUUUUCAGACUUGGCGGCAUGGUGAAGAACUGUGCGACCAUAGCGAUCUUGCUUUUUGAGGUGUUCCUCUGACAUUGUGCUUAGAAAUUCGUCAAUCAUAUCCAAUUGACCUUUGAAGAUUGCGAAAUGAAAGGCCGUGAAACUGGAAUCGCCAAUUACGGCAUUGGCUAAAUGCGUGUGGGACGUCAAAACACUCUUUGUGGAUUCCAAAUCACGUUCCUUAAUACCCUUGAGGAGCUCUAAAAUAUGAGUGCGAUCAGCAUCUCUGGCCACUGCCACCGCACAACGCUGUUAAUAGAGUAGUAUGCUAAAGAUUGGUAAUUUAUUAGGUUGAACAAGUUUAGAUUUUGUAUAAUGACUCCAACAUAGUUAUAAUAUGAAAAUUAAUUUUCUUGUCUAAUAUGAUCUGACUCGUAUAAUCCAUAUAUAACCAAUUAUGAUGUGUUUGAAUAAGUUAAUUCACACAACUUAAUAUAUACAUUUAACUAUUUUAAAAUUUAUUUAUAUAUUAAUAUAUUAAUAUUUAAAAUAUAUAAAUGAAUCUACUAAUUAUGUUUAAACAAGUUAAUCGUAUAUUGUUAUAUCGUAAUUUUAACAUGACAUAUAUAAUUCAUCUUUAUCAUUAUUUAAUUUGUUUAAUAAACAUGUCAUUUGUUAGGGACUCAAUAUAAUAGUUUAGAAAAAUGAAGAGGUCUGGAGAGACACCGGGUGCCUCUUCUGGCAUAGGACAUUGGCACACUUGGGCUAAAGUCUUCCAAGCAUCUUUAGCCGUAGUCAUGUUUCUAAUAUAAGAAAGCAUGCUAGGAUCACAUGAAAUUUGAAUAGCAUGCAAAGCAGUUAGAUUCCUCUUUCUCCAAGCCUUGAAAUCAGCCCCAUAACCUUUUCCCUGUUUGAGAGGUUCUGGGGCUUGUUCCACAACAUCCCACAGAUCUCUAACCAAGAAAUAGUAUUUUAUGCAAGCUCUCCAGUUUUCAUAAUUAUCUUUUCCACUAAGAACUUGAGCAACAAUUGCACUCGAACAAAUAUUAUUGACCUCCAUCUGUCAAAACAAAAAUGGAAAAUUAAAUUUGUUUCCCAAACUACCUAAUUUGCACCUAAUAAUAAGCAUAUAUAUUUGGAAUUCCACAUAAUGAAGUUAUCAAAAAAACUCAACUUACAUUAAUAAAUAAAACGAGUCUUCUUCCUCAGUUCUUCAGUGGGGAGAGCAUGCAGUUGCAAAUUAACACUCUAUUAACGGUUGUUUUGGCUCAAUGAUUUCUCUUUGGAGUUGAAUUGCAGACUACUAUCAAGACGGGUCAUUGGGUCUAUUAUGCCAGAAUAAUGGGUGGACUAUGAUUCCUUCCUUACCCAUGUCAAGAUGUGAAUGGUCCAAUAAAAGGGUAUGUUUGCUAAGGGGGAAUGGAAUAUCCAUUCCCCCAUCCUAAGCUCUCUUCAAAAAUUUGUUUGCUUCACGACCAUUCCUAAAAAAUGAUGAAUAGCCAAUACCAAAAGAGACUUGGUAACUGAGAAAAAAAAAAAAGACUUGGUAGUGGUUAUUCCAAAUGUGAAAGAAUAGUUCAAAAAUUUUAUUGGAUAAAACUAUUCUUAAACAAAUUUGAAAAUUAUCAUCUAUAUUAGAUAAAAUUUCUUCAUUUUUCACAUUUCUAUUUUUCUCUCUUUACUUAUCUUUUGCCUUUCUGCUUUUCUCUCCAAAUUUCCUCCACCACCGGAGGGCGAUGGAGUGCGACAAUUGCGAUAGCAGCAUCAAUGCUGGUCAUGAAAAACAUUAAUCUAGAGCUCCACAACUAGAUCGGACUAAGAAAGUGCUAAAUCUAGUGUCCAUCAUUGUAUAUGGUUGCGAAAGUGUCAGAUCCUACGUUUCUUGAUCAAAUUCGAUCACUGUAAGUGUCAAAUCAACACUGCAUUACACCGCCCACAUCUUUAGUGGCUGGCCAGUUAAGAAGAAAGAAAGGAAAAAAUUGAAAAUAUUAAAAUAGAAAAACUUUUAAAAAGAAAAAAUUAAAAAAAUAUUUUAAAUCUUAAUAUUAAAUUAAAAUUGUAAUUAUAAAUUAUAAAUAUUUAAUAUUUCAAAAUAAAUAUAAAUAAUCACAUUGAAGUAUUAAUUAUCCAUUAUUAAUAUUUUAAUUAAACUAUAAAUUAUUAAUUUUUUAAAAAAUAAAAUAAGUGAUAAUAUUUAAGUUUUNCAUAAAAUUUUUAAUAUUUUUAAUAAAUUAUAAAAAUAAAUAUUUUAAAAUUAAAAAUUAUAUAUAAUAAUAAUAAGUAUUUUUGUCUUUUUAUCACCUAUUCUUUUAUUAUUCUAAAGUUAUUUUUACAAAUCAAACAUGAAAAUAAGUCAUAAUAACAAUUUUUACCUUAUUCCAUUUCAUGAACUAAACUAUAUAAUAAUUAUUCCUAUCUUAUUUUAUUUUCAUAAAAAUAAUCAUUCUAUUUUCUCUCUACAAGGUUUUGGACUGUGAUUCUUUACUUAAUAAUGUCAAGAUGUAAACAAUACAUUAAAUCUACUAAUAAUAAUAUUAAUACUGAAGGUUUGUUGGCAUAAUUACGUCAAUAUGAAUGGGGGUAUCUAUAAAAAAGACUAUUGGUUUUAUAUUUACUAAGUGUGUAACCUGUGUUACGUACUCGGAAGAUUAUUUUUCGUUAAUGUAAUUAUUCAAAAUUAAUCAAAAAAUCUAUAUUAAUUUAUUUAAUUAUCAAAAGUUAUUCAAAUUUUCUCAAGAUUCGAAUCCAAGACUUGUAAAUUAAAAUCUCAAAAUUUAAAUCCGGAGAUAUUAUCUCGGGGAUUAUUAAUUUAUUAUGGGCAAGACAAUAUCGGUUCCAUCUUUCUAUAUAAUAAAGUUUUAUGAAAGUCCACAACCACAUAGGCCGAUGGGCCUUGAAGUGGCAUAUACUACAUAGAAACUUCUAUUCGGAAGCAAUCAUCUGUUGAUAAAAUGGGUUUGAAGGCCUUACUUUUUCACAGCUCUUAAGUCGGUCCAUCCUUCUCUUCUUCGGCUGAAAACUUGUCUCGGCCCCAAUCCAAAGUUACAAGCAUGAUACGUGAACUUUCUGCAGCCAUGGCUGCAUCCCAGAUGUCACUUUCUUUGCCAAGUGUUUGGAGUUUAAAACCUACUUUUUAUCUUUUAUUCAUGCAUGAAAGAACGUAAACAUUUGAAUAACAUAAGACUCUUUUUUUUGUAUUUUUUAAUGUAUAUUUUGAUUAUUUCCUAUUAAAGUUUAAAUUUUUUUUAUUUUUAUGAAAAUUAAUAUAAAAAUUUGGAUUUUAAUGUAACAAAAGGAGUAAUUUGGAUUUAGACGUCACAAACUCUCAAAAACAGUGAAUAUAUUUUGAGGAGAAGUGGAGAUAAGCAUGGAGAGCAAAGCCUUUGGCAAGUUGCCUAAUUCUUUAUUAUUUGGGUCAGCUGAAAUGGCUUGCCCGGACAAACACAAUCCUUCUACACACCUCUUUGCCCGCUGCCCUAAACCUGCUGGCAGCCUGGCAGCAGGCCAAAGUGUUGCCCUAAAAACAGUUUCCUCCCCCUAUAAAACCAUAAUCAUUCUAACCCUCAUCUCCAUUGCCUCCUCUCUCCUCACCGACCUUUGCUUUCCUUUCUGUUCUUCUUUGAUUUUAUUAUGUUUCAGGUUUAUUUUCUGGGAAGGGUUCAUUAUGCUUUGGUUGUAAGAUAUAUCCUUAAUUUGUUGUUCUUAUACUUUAGUUUUUGAGAAGAAAAUCAUGGGCUUUUGACUGUUUAAAACAUGGGUUUAAGGUUUUUUCCCCCAAAUGAUGAUGGGUUUAAGGUUUGAAGUGGUAGGAUUGCUGUGUUGGGUGAGUUUAGAGAUGGCUGGUCUGAUCUUUUGAUGUUUUGUCUUUGGGAUUGUGUUAAAAGUGCAAAAAGCUUCCAUCCGCAUGUGAUUAUCAAAAGGUGAGCAAAGCGGCCAUAUUUUGCACAGAUUGACUAAACAAAAAGUAGUAAUCUUACUUCUUUUGCUUUUUCUAAAUGGUUUGUGUCUAUUUCUUUGCAGAUGCAUAAACCCAUUUGGAUUUGGUAGCAAACAUCUCAAUUUUUCAAUAAAAAAAACUUACUUCUAAAAAAUAUUUCAAUUUUCUUCUCUUGUUUGACCUGUUUUAAUGUACCACAAAGAAGAAAAUAAGAAAACCCUUUAUUGUUGGUGCCUUGCCGGGAAGGAAUAUUCAAAGGAAUGCAUCUAUUUUCGGUAAGAGGAUUAAAAUAAUUGAUGGUGGGGGCAAAGGGCAAUUUUUCCAUGUGUUUUGCAUUAAAGAAGAGGAUUCAUUGUGCUUAAUUACCUUAAAAACUAGUAUUGGAAGAGAAUCCACCAAGAAAUGGAAAAAUGCAAAAAUGUUGGAUUUAUCUAUUCACCAAUUGAAUUUAUUAAAAAAAUUAAAAUAUAUUCAUCAAUGAGAACAAUUAUUUCCAGAAUAAGAUGAUUUUAUCCUGUUAGUUUUUAAUUCGAAAAUGAUAUUUCAAAAUCCUCUCCAAAGAUAUCAUCCUACUCUCUAUAAAAAAACAACUCUCACUUACAAAAAAACAUCUCAAGCCCAAAAAAUCAGCAUGAACAGAAGCCAGACAAUAGCUUUGGUAAGAACAGGAUACUCCAAAAAACACCCCUAUCCCUAUACACAAGAAACUUUCUAUUCAACAAGUGAAUUAAUAGCAAUUAGUCAGAAGGGUAUUGUUGUUUGUUGUUUAGAAGCAAAAAUGUUGUUUAAAAAUGGUCACAAACUGCUAGGAUGACAAGCAAAUGGAAUGAAGAUUUGGGUAAAGAUUGAAAUGUGCAAAUCUUUGUAUGUAGACCAAAAAAUUUAGGGUCCUUUUCAAAAAUAUCUCUUGUACAUAAGGUGUUUUUGAAAUAGUCCUUUUAUAAUUUUAAUUAUUUUUAAUUAAGAGAAAUUAAUUUUAUAAAAAAUUACCUUUAAUAAAAUUAAUUCAUAUGUUUAAAUCUACACUUCAAACCGACUUAUUUCCUUUUAGCUUUUCUCGUCAAAUCAUAUUAUUUAUCUAUGAAGUAUUUCUUACCAAAAAGAAAAACCUUUUAAAUAUCUUGAGUAUUUUAGAGUAGUUUUUGAUACAUAAAGAAAAAAUUUUGAGCGUUUUGAGCAUUUUUAAGUAUUUUGGAGUGGCUUUUGAUACAUGAAGAAAAACCUUUAAGUAUUUUGAGUAUUUUUUUAUUGAUUAUGUUGUUAAAUGGAAUAUGAUAUGUUAUUUGAAGUUGUUAAUUUUGUUAAAUAGAAUUCAGUAAUUUUAGCAGUUUUUAGACAUUACAUAAUCGAUUUUUGGGCGUUGUGUGAUUAGUUUUUAAGUAUUACGUUACUAAUUUUUAAGUAUUACGUGAUUGAUUUUUAAAUAUUGAGUAACUGGUUGAUAUGACAUUGUAUGACUAGUUCGUAAGACAUUGCAUGAUUAGUUUUUAAGCAUUGUGUGACUUAAGCAUUACCUAAAAAUUAGUCUCACUAUACUUAAAAAUCAAUUACACAAUGUUUAAAAACCAAUAAUGCAAUACCUAAUAACUAAUUGGUUUGUCUACUCGAAGUCAGGUUUAAGUUGUCAAAAUCAUACAGUAUUUUAAUUUAAACCCAUCAACUUUGAAAUUAUAUGAAUAAACUAAUAAAUCCAAGAAUCUAAAACAUAGACCUUAAUAUCAUCUUUACUUUUUGGGAUAGUGAGAAAGAGCUAAAUUGUAAACUAGACAGUAUUUGGUAAAAGAGAAAAUUCAAGAUUCAAUUUUGAAAAUUUUAUCUAAAUGGCGAAAUAGAGAAAACCAAAAUUAUUUUAAUUUGUCUGAAAUUGUUUAAAGAGUAAUAUUAUUAAAUCAUGUCAAAAAUUAACUAAAAAUAAUCAAAAUUAUAAUAAAAGAUAUUUUUAAAUUGAGCUUAUAAAGAGAAUUAUUUUUCAUAAUUUCCUCAAAAAUUUGCUUGAUAUAAACUUAAAACUAAAAUGAUCUCCACCACUAAAAAUGCCUGGGGCUGUCAAUUUUGGGUGAUGAUAAUGAGCUCCCUAAAUGGUUGUUGGUCUUUACUCAAGAGGCCCAUCGUUACAAUGGGUUGGAAAAAGUAGUAUUUGCAAUAUUGUGGACAAAAGGUUUUAGGUCUAAACAUUGGCAGUAAAUUGGUACGUGUUACAACUCCUCCAUGUAUAUAUUUUUAUAUUAGACAGAAAAUCUAUUUUAUUUCAUUUUUUUGUGUUUAUCACGAAAAAUACUAUGUUCUAUUACUUAUAUAAUUGGUAAAUUUAUUAUCUUCAUUCAGGUAUAAAAUGAAAAGUCUAUGAAUGGUAAACUCAGGCUUACAUAGGCUGAUUUCAUUUUAAGUAACUAUUUGGAGAUUCUCACAGACAAGAAUUUGGAACUUGGAUAAGGCAGUCCCUCCAUUUCUUACAUUGGAUCCAGACUCCAGAGUUUGAGUGGAUGACAUUGUGGCGGCAGCUUGGGCUUGUGAAAAGGACAUUGUUUUCCAUGUAGCAACAGUAACUGCUGCUCUUAUAAUCAAAAGAAUAAGUUUUACUUUGAUCUCCUCCUUUUCUAUCAGGGAAUCAUGGGUGCUUGCUCCUGUCCAAAUUCGGAGAAUACAAUGGCUAAUCAAUUGCUUGGAUUGCAAAUUUCUAAAUUGCAUUUGACUUAUAUGUUUCAUUUCAAUGGAGAGUUUUAGUCUGUUUUCUCAAGUUGUCACGCACAUUUUUUUUUAUCAAAAUUUCUAGAUUUAAAUAAUAUAAUAAUUAGUAAAUUAUUUGACUUUUACUCGAUAAAAAUUUUAUUCUUUAUCUAAAUCAUUUUGUAUCGAAGGAAAUUAACUAUUAAUGAAAAAUUAAUAGUUAAGAGAUCCAAAAGCAACGAUAUUUUCUAUCCACGUAAUAGAUAUAUAAUGAGGUCAUAUGAUAAUUGAUGCAAGGGUUAAGUCCAAAUCCUCUCAACUUGAACUCCCAAUAUUAUAAUUGAAGCCAAGCCUACAACCCUUCAUGAGAAUGAGAGCAUCAGAACCUUUUGAAUAGAUAAGAGAAAAUGUCUAAAUUUGCUGCUAUGAACAAAUGUUAGGAAUUCAAGAGUCUGAUCUGUGGCCUCUGGAAGAGUAAAGAUGAAGUUUCUGUACACACUGAAUUUUGUGAGCUUUGAACCCAUUACAACACAUGCAUCAAGUAAAUUUUUGACUGAAAAAAUAGAGAGUAAAAGAGAGACAGAAUUGUACAAAUUACAAUGAAAAGCUGACAAGAUUUGAAGCAUGAAAUAACAAUAUCUCUCUAUACCAAGUUAUUUUCCAUGGUUUUGAGUAUCCAUUUUAACGUGAAAAAUGCAUGAUGAAGAGAUGUGCUCCUUCUGUGAAGGAACCAAUGCCAUGGAAUUCACUCUCCAGUACUCCCCUUUCCUUUUCUUCUCAUCUCCAUACACCCAUUUCUCUUCUUCUCUUUUUUGUUCAAUCCCGGCUCCUUCUGAAUUGGAAAUCGAAACUUUUCUCCAGUUGCACCAGAUUCUUAACAUGAUGUAAAUCAGCACCAAACAUAUAACUGUAGAAGUGAAAACAAUGGCCACUAUAAUACAAAUAACUGCAGUGUUGGACAGUUUGUUCUUUUCAUGACCCGCUGAAUCCAUGCACGAUGAUAAUGGUGGGCCGCAGAGCUUGUCAUUACCCGAGAAAGAACCAAGUGGGAAUCCUGAAAAGGUAGAAGGAAGUUCUCCCUGGAGAUGAUUAUUUGAAAGGUUUAGCAUGUCGAGGCUGGUCAGCUUUCCAAGUGAAGAGGGAACUUCUCCUUGAAGUCGG
rnacentral:lncRNA from 1 species